UACGUAGGGUGCAAGCGUUAAUCGGAAUUACUGGGCGUAAAGCGUGCGCAGGCGGUUUUGUAAGUCUGAUGUGAAAUCCCCCGGGCUCAACCUGGGAAUUGCAUUGGAGACUGCAAGGCUAGAAUCUGGCAGAGGGGGGGUAGAAUUCCACGUGUAGCAGUGAAAUGCGUAGAGAUGUGGAGGAACACCGAUGGCGAAGGCAGCCCCCUGGGAUAACACUGACGCUCAUGCGCGAAAGCGUGGGGAGCAAACAGG
rnacentral:rRNA from 1 species